UACGUAGGGUGCAAGCGUUGUCCGGAAUUAUUGGGCGUAAAGAGCUCGUAGGCGGUCUGUCGCGUCUGCUGUGAAAACUCAGGGCUCAACCCUGAGCUUGCAGUGGGUACGGGCAGACUAGAGUGCGGUAGGGGAGACUGGAAUUCCUGGUGUAGCGGUGAAAUGCGCAGAUAUCAGGAGGAACACCGGUGGCGAAGGCGGGUCUCUGGGCAAUAACUGACGCUGAGGAGCGAAAGCGUGGGGAGCGAACAGG
rnacentral:rRNA from 1 species